UGCUCAGGGGCCUUUUUAUGGGCCGUCUUGACAUCUUUAAUGCCGCUCUUUUCUGAGUUACCAUGAAC
rnacentral:tRNA from 1 species